CAUUUGAUGACUGAAGAAAAUGUGAGUUAAUGUAUACUUUCUUCUUUUUUUUUUUUUUCAUAGGCUCCAUGCCCAACGUGGGGCUGGAACUCAGGACCUCAAGAUCAAGAAUUACAUGCUCCACAGACUAGGGCAGCCAGGUGCCCCUGCACUUUGAUUUUUAACACCUUCCAGACUUUCAGGAAAACUGCCGUUUGGAAACAGAGCCUGGCUGUGGCCUGUGGGGGCACCAGGGAAGUUGUUGGCUGAGCUGAGGAUAAACACCAGCGAUUCUAUUCUCAACUCGCGGAGUCUCAUCACCGCCCCAGGAGGUGAUUCCAGGAAGCUCUGUGAGGGCGUGAAAUGAGACAGGGCUCGCAGAAGGACCAGCAGAGGGUUCUCUUGAGGAACCCAGCAGGGCAAAGCUUCAAGUGCUUCACAAAUAUCCCUUCGCUGACUCUCCAUGACAGCCCCACGAGACAAGUGUUGUUAUCCCCGCUCUACAGAUGGAGAAACUGAGGCGUGGAGGAAUGGCGAACAACUCACACAAGAUCCUCCCAUUACCAGUGAGCUCAGGCAUCUUUUCAAGUGUUCAUAAGGACCAUUUCCGCAUCUUCUGUGAGUGGAAUCUUCUAUGAGAGUCUGUGGAUAUUUAAUGUGUCUUUCUCAGAGCAUCCUAAUUCCAUCCGGUAGUGGCCACUUGUGUUCUGUUUUAUCAGUCUCCUGUGAAGUCAGAUUCACAGCCUUUGACCUAAAGGAAGCCAACAGGUGGACUCCUCCGGGCCAUGCUGAUUGGUUGAGGACAGGGCUCAUGACCCACGAAGGGUCAGCCAGAGAAAACAAGUCCCCAUUCCUUGAUGUCUUUUCAAGCUAUUGGACAGAGAAACUCUGCCUUCCUCUACAUUUGAUUCAGUGAAGUGGCCAUGUAACACCCAGAGGAGCCAGGAAAUGAAACCCCACAGAGAAGGCAAAGCUGAUGAAUGCAGAGAUUUUGAGUCCGGAUGGUAUUAUCUGAGCUGCUGGGUCCAGCCUCGUCCAGAGACAAACUACGCUUGAAUUCCCUGGUGGUGUAUAAAUGAAUACA